rnacentral:rRNA from 1 species
CCCUUUGAUACUCUGGGCGGCACGCGCGCUACACUGGUUUAUAUAACGUGUAAUUUGGACGAUAGUCUGUAUAAAUCACUAAUAUAAAACCGUGAAUGGGAUAGUUUAUUGCAACUUACAAACUUUAACUAGGAAUCCCUCGUAGAAGUAGUGAAUUAUACUGCUUCGAAUACGUCCCUGCCGAUUGUACACACCGCCCGUCGUUUCUUCCGACUGGUACUCAUUGUGAAUUGCGAGGAGAUUCUGUCAAAUCGUUGUAAAUGCUGGGUAUUGGAGGAAGAAAAAGUCGUAACA